rnacentral:rRNA from 2 species
AGGUGCGAUCAUACCAGCACUAAUGCACCGGAUCCCAUAAGAACUCCGUAUAUAAGCGUGCUUGGGCGAGAGUAGGACUUGGAUGGGUGACCUCCUUGGAAGUCCUCGUGUUGCACCUC